CAGUUGACCAGUUUUCCUUA
rnacentral:miRNA from 1 species